rnacentral:tmRNA from 1 species
GGGGUCGAUUUGGAUUCGACGCUGGUGACAAAGUCUUAGGUGCAUGUCGUGAGGGUAGCCAAUCACGUUAAUCCAAAGCUGCAAACUUACAGUUGCCAAUGAUGACAACUACGGUGCCCAAUUAGCUGCGUAAGCAGCUUUUGAAAGCACCAUUUAGCGGUUCGCCGCUAACGGUCUCUAACAAGGUGCCAGUACCGCGUUAAAGCCCGUCAUACAGAACUGGAUCGCAGUGAAGCUUGCCUGGGGUGGAUCAGCUAAAACUUAUCAGGAUCGCGGUUUACGUCCCGCCCGCUGGGCUGUAAAUCGCUAAAUCAAUAGGCGGUUCUAAACAUGUAGAGCCGAGGAUGGAGUGCUGGCGGACGGGGGUUCAAAUCCCCCCGACUCCACCA